rnacentral:rRNA from 1 species
UACGUAGGGUGCGAGCGUUGUCCGGAAUUAUUGGGCGUAAAGAGCGUGUAGGCGGCCAGGUAGGUCCGCUGUGAAAGUCCGAGGCUCAACCUCGGAAUGUCGGCGGAAACCCUCUGGCUAGAGUCCGGAAGAGGAGAGUGGAAUUCCCGGUGUAGCGGUGAAAUGCGCAGAUAUCGGGAAGAACACCAGUGGCGAAGGCGGCUCUCUGGGACGGUACUGACGCUGAGACGCGAAAGCGUGGGGAGCGAACAGG